rnacentral:lncRNA from 1 species
AGGAACCUAGUUUGGGCAAAGGUGGUGAUAUUGUUAUGGCAGCAAGUCGAUCCAAGAUGGAUUUGAGUUUGUUGUUCAUACCGGAUUGGCUUUGGGUUAGUGCAACAUGUCCCUGGGUGAGUCUGGCGACAACUUCUUUGAGGCAAUCAAUUAAAGCUUGUCAUGUAUUAUGUUCCGACAUGACGACACGAAAACAAGGCAAGACAAACCACUUUUGUUAUGGUUU